rnacentral:rRNA from 1 species
AGAAUCAACGCUGGCGGCGUGCCUAACACAUGCAAGUCGCACGAGAAAGGGGCUUCGGUCCUGAGUAAAGUGGCGUACGGGUGAGUAACACGUGAAUUAUCUACCUCCGAGUGGGGAAUAACCUAGAGAAAUCUGGGCUAAUACCGCAUAACACUUACGAGUCAAAGCAGUAAUGCGCUUGGAGAGGAGUUCGCGGCAGAUUAGCUAGUUGGCGGGGUAAUGGCCCACCAAGGCAAUGAUCUGUAUCCGGCCUGAGAGGGCGCACGGACACACUGGAACUGAAACACGGUCCAGACUCCUACGGGAGGCAGCAGUGGGGAAUUUUGCGCAAUGGGGGAAACCCUGACGCAGCAACGCCGCGUGGAGGAUGAAAUCCCUUGGGAUGUAAACUCCUUUCGAUAGGGAAGAUAAUGACGGUACCUAUAGAAGAAGCCCGGCUAACUUCGCGCCAGCAGCCGC